ACGAACGCUGGCGGCGUGCUUAACACAUGCCAGUCGAACGGAAAGGCCCUGCUUUUGUGGGGUGCUCGAGUGGCGAACGGGUGAGUAACACGUGAGUAACCUGCCCUUGACUUUGGGAUAACUUCAGGAAACUGGGGCUAAUACCGGAUAGGAGCUCCUGCUGCAUGGUGGGGGUUGGAAAGUUUCGGCGGUUGGGGAUGGACUCGCGGCUUAUCAGCUUGUUGGUGGGGUAGUGGCUUACCAAGGCUUUGACGGGUAGCCGGCCUGAGAGGGUGACCGGCCACAUUGGGACUGAGAUACGGCCCAGACUCCUACGGGAGGCAGCAGGGGGGAAUAUUGCACAAUGGGCGGAAGCCUGAUGCAGCAACGCCGCGUGCGGGAUGACGGCCUUCGGGUUGUAAACCGCUUUCGCCUGUGACGAAGCGUGAGUGACGGUAAUGGGUAAAGAAGCACCGGCUAACUACGUG
rnacentral:rRNA from 1 species